rnacentral:rRNA from 1 species
GUGCCAGCCGCCGCGGUAAUACGGGGGGGGCGAGCGUUGUUCGGAAUCACUGGGCGUAAAGGGCGCGUAGGCGGCCCGCACAAGUCUGCGGUGAAAACCUCCGGCUUAACCGGGGGCCGGCCGUGGAAACUGUCGGGCUGGAGGCUGGGAGAGGGCAGCGGAAUUCCCGGUGUAGCGGUGAAAUGCGUAGAGAUCGGGAGGAACACCGGCGGCGAAGGCGGCUGCCUGGACCAGUCCUGACGCUGAGGCGCGAAAGCUAGGGGAGCAAACAGGAUUAGAAACCCCCGUAGUCC